UCUUCUCAAGACUCUUUUUGUUCAUUCAAUGCAUGUGCUAACAAGUACACGGAUAAAAGGAGAGAAGACAAACAUAGAGAUAUACCCCCCCCCCCCCCAUGCACACAAAACAUACAACAAACAAAUAAUACCACACAAUUACUACGUCCA
ensembl:ncRNA Y47D3B.14 ncRNA